rnacentral:rRNA from 1 species
AUUAAAGGGUAUGCCUUAGUACGGCGAGUGAAGCGGCAAGAGCUCAAAUUUGAAAUCUAGCACUUUCAGUGUUCGAGUUGUAAUUUGAAGAAGGUAUCUUUGGAGUUGGCCCCUGUCUAUGUUCCUUGGAACAGGACGUCACAGAGGGUGAGAAUCCCGUGCGAUGGGGAGACCAAUUCUUUGUAAAGUUCCUUCGAAGAGUCGAGUUGUUUGGGAAUGCAGCUCUAAGUGGGUGGUAAAUUCCAUCUAAAGCUAAAUAUUGGCGAGAGACCGAUAGCGAACAAGUACAGUGAUGGAAAGAUGAAAAGAACUUUGAAAAGAGAGUGAAAAAGUACGUGAAAUUGUUGAAAGGGAAGGGCUUUUGAUCAGACUUGGUGUUUAACGAUCUCUUCUCCUUGUGGGAGGGGCUCUUGUUUUAUACUGGGCCAGCAUCGGUUUGGAUGGCAGGAUAAUGACAUUGGAACGUGGCUUCAUUCGUGAAGUGUUAUAGCCUUUGUUGAUACUGCCUAUCUAGACCGAGGACUGCGUCUUUGACUAGGAUGCUGGCGUAAUGAUUAAAAGCCGCCCGUCUUGA